rnacentral:rRNA from 1 species
UACGUAGGUGGCAAGCGUUAUCCGGAUUUAUUGGGCGUAAAGAGAACGCAGGCGGUCUUUUAAGUCUGAUGUGAAAGCCUUCGGCUUAACCGGAGUAGUGCAUUGGAAACUGGGAGACUUGAGUGCAGAAGAGGAGAGUGGAACUCCAUGUGUAGCGGUGAAAUGCGUAGAUAUAUGGAAGAACACCAGUGGCGAAAGCGGCUCUCUGGUCUGUGACUGACGCUGAGGUUCGAAAGCGUGGGUAGCAAACAGG